rnacentral:rRNA from 1 species
UACGGAGGGUGCGAUUGUUGUUCGGAAUUAUUGGGCGUAAAGGACGCGUAGGCGGUCAUGAAAGUCAGAUGUGAAAUCCUCCGGCUCAACUGGAGAACUGCAUCUGAAACUUCAUGACUAGAGUACAGGAGAGGGAAACGGAAUUCCCGGUGUAGAGGUGAAAUUCGUAGAUAUCGGGAGGAACACCAGUGGCGAAGGCGGUUUCCUGGCCUGAUACUGACGCUGAGGCGUGAAAGCGUGGGGAGCAAACAGG